AGCGAACGCUGGCGGCAGGCCUAAUACAUGCAAGUCGAACGCCCCUUCGGGGGAGUGGCGGACGGGUGAGUAACGCGUGGGAACGUGCCCUUUGGUACGGAACAACUGAGGGAAACUUCAGCUAAUACCGUAUGUGCCCUUCGGGGGAAAGAUUUAUCGCCAUUGGAGCGGCCCGCGUUGGAUUAGCUAGUUGGUGGGGUAAAGGCCUACCAAGGCGACGAUCCAUAGCUGGACUGAGAGGAUGACCAGCCACACUGGGACUGAGACACGGCCCAGACUCCUACGGGAGGCAGCAGUAGGGAAUCUUGGGCAAUGGGCGAAAGCCUGACCCAGCCAUGCCGCGUGAACGAUGAAGGUCUUAGGAUUGUAAAAUUCUUUCACCGGGGACGAUAAUGACGGUACCCGGAGAAGAAGCCCCGGCUAACUUCGUGCCAGCAGCCGCCGUAA
rnacentral:rRNA from 1 species